rnacentral:rRNA from 11 species
CUUUGUGAAGAAAAAUAUACUGAAAGCACCAUAUCUUCUCUGAUUUGGGAAGUUAAACAGAUCAGGCCUGGUUGGUACUUGGAUGGGAAAUACCAAGGAAUGCUUUAGGUUCUGUUUCAGAGA